rnacentral:rRNA from 1 species
ACGAACGCUGGCGGCGUGCUUCACACAUGCAAGUCGAACGGAAAGGCCCCUUUGGGGGUACUCGAGUGGCGAACGGGUGAGUAACACGUGAGUAACCUGCCCUUGACUUCGGGAUAACUUCAGGAAACUGGGGCUAAUACCGGAUAGGAAUCCUUGCUGCAUGGUGGGGGUUGGAAAGCUUCGGCGGUUUUGGAUGGACUCGCGGCUUAUCAGCUUGUUGGUGGGGUAGUGGCUUACCAAGGCUUUGACGGGUAGCCGGCCUGAGAGGGCGACCGGCCACAUUGGGACUGAGAUACGGCCCAGACUCCUACGGGAGGCAGCAGUGGGGAAUAUUGCACAAUGGGCGGAAGCCUGAUGCAGCAACGCCGCGUGCGGGAUGACGGCCUUCGGGUUGUAAACCGCUUUCAGCAGGGGCGAAGCUUGUGGUGACGGAACCUGCAGAAGAAGCACCGGCUAACUACGUG